UGCAGAUCUGGUCGAUUCUGCCAGAGGUUACUGCUAUCGAGGUCCGACUAAGCCAUGCGAGUCGAAUGUAGCAAUACAUGGCAUACUGCUCAGUAACACGUGGACAACCUACCCUCGGCGCGGGGAUAAACCCGGGAAACUGGGUAUAAUACCCGAUAGUUCUGGUUAGCUGGAAUGCUUCCAGGACGAAAGCUCCGGCGGCCGAGGAUGGGUCUGCGGCCUAUCAGGUAGUAGUGGGUGUAACGUACCUACUAGCCUACGACGGGUACGGGUUGUGAGAGCAAGAGCCCGGAGAUGGAUUCUGAGACACGAAUCCAGGCCCUACGGGGUGCAGCAGGCGCGAAAACUUUACAAUGCUGGCAACAGCGAUAAGGGGACCUCGAGUGCCAGGAUACAAUCUUGGCUGUCGUGAUGCCUAAAAAGCAUUGCAUAGCAAGGGCCGGGCAAGACCGGUGCCAGCCGCCGCGGUAACACCGGCGGCUCGAGUGGUAACCGCUAUUAUUGGGUCUAAAGGGUCUGUAGCCGGCCGGAUAAGUCUUUUGGGAAAUCCAGCUGCUCAACAGUUGGGCUUUCAGAAGAUACUGUUCGGCUCGAGGCCGGGAGAGGUGAGAGGUACUUCAGGGGUAGGGGUGAAAUCUUGUAAUCCUUGAAGGACCACCAGUGGCGAAGGCGUCUCACCAGAACGGACCUGACGGCAAGGGGACGAAA
rnacentral:rRNA from 1 species